UACGUAGGUGGCAAGCGUUGUCCGGAAUUAUUGGGCGUAAAGCGCGCGCAGGCGGCCUUUUAAGUCUGAUGUGAAAGCCCACGGCUCAACCGUGGAAGGUCAUUGGAAACUGAAAGGCUUGAGUACAGAAGAGGAAAGCGGGAUUCCACGUGUAGCGGUGAAAUGCGUAGAGAUGUGGAGGAACACCAGUGGCGAAGGCGGCUUUCUGGUCUGUAACUGACGCUGAGGCGCGAAAGCGUGGGGAGCAAACAGG
rnacentral:rRNA from 1 species